rnacentral:lncRNA from 1 species
CCGAGUGUGGGCCAGGAGCCGGGCCAGGAAGGGAGGGAGGUGGCACCAGUGGGGGCCGGGCCCAGGCCCAGUCGGGAGCCGAAGCUCAGUUCAAGCUCCUCCCGACAAUCUGUCCCGGACUUAGGAGGAACGAGUUGGAGUCGGGUCCAGCCGCCAGUUUGGGAUUGGGCUGCCCCGCCCCCGAUAUCUCGGCUGGGCUGGUCCCUCAGGCCUCGGCCGCGGCUUUUCAGGUGCUGGAGACUCAGCGGAGCUGCAAGCGGACGGAUGUCUUCCCAGCACCCACCGCCCCCUUCCGCCCACCUCAGGCAUGCAGACAUGGGAGUCCCACUGUAUGUCGCAGACUGAGGCCCCAGCCCCACUGAGGGCAAAAGGCACAUCUUUGCUUUGGGCCUCUCCUAUUCUCCAAUAGGAUUUUCCAGCUGGAAUGGAAUUCACUAGGUCAUUCACAUCAUCUCCCUGCCCUGUGCCUAAAUCAUUCUAACUACUUGAGAAUGGAUGAUAUAUUGAGGGCAUUCUCAAGAAGAAGUCACAGUCCUACCUCUACCUCUACCUCUACCUCUACCCUCUUUCCACGGUCUCCCUCUGAUGCCGAGCCGAAGCUGGACUGUACUGCUGCCAUCUCGGCUUACUGCAACCUC